rnacentral:rRNA from 1 species
UGGCGAACGGGUGAGUAAUACAUAAGGUAACUGCCCUAGAGAGGGGGAUAACUACUGGAAACGGUAGCUAAUACCGCAUAACGUCGCAAGACCAAAGAGGGGGACCUUAGGGCCUCUUGCCAUCGGAUGUGCCCAGAUGGGAUUAGCUAGUAGGUGGGGUAACGGCUCACCUAGGCGACGAUCCCUAGCUGGUCUGAGAGGAUGACCAGCCACACUGGAACUGAGACACGGUCCAG